UAACNUGCCAGUUCGAACGUAGACCUUCGGGCUCUAGUGGCGCACGGGUCGCGNUAACGCGCUNGNUAAUCUGCCCCCUUGGAUUCGNAAUAACAGUUAGAAAUGACUGCCUAAUACCGGAUGAUGUCUUCGGACCAAAGAUUUAUCGCCAAGGGAUGAGCCCGCGUAGGAUUAGCUAGUUGGUGAGGUAAAAGCUCACCAAGGCGACGAUCCUUAGCUGGUCUGAGAGGAUGAUCAGCCACACUGGGACUGAGACACGGCCCAGACUCCUACGGGAGGCAGCAGUGGGGAAUAUUGGACAAUGGGCGAAAGCCUGAUCCAGCAAUGCCGCGUGAGUGAUGAAGGCCUUANGGUUGUAAAGCUCUUUUACCCGGGAAGAUAAUGACUGUACCGGGAGAAUAAGCCCCGGCUAACUCCGUGCCAGCAGCCGCGGUAAUACGGAGGGGGCUAGCGUUGUUCGGAAUUACUGGGCGUAAAGCGCACGUAGGCGGCUUUGUAAGUUAGAGGUGAAAGCCCGGAGCUCAACUCCGGAAUUGCCUUUAAGACUGCAUCGCUAGAACGUCGGAGAGGUGAGUGGAAUUCCGAGUGUAGAGGUGAAAUUCGUAGAUAUUCGGAAGAACACCAGUGGCGAAGGCGACUCACUGGACGACUGUUGACGCUGAGGUGCGAAAGCGUGGGGNAGCAAACAGGAUUAGAUACCCUGGUAGUCACGCCGUAAACGAUGAUGACUAGCUGUCGGGGCUCUUAAAGCUUCGGUGGCNCACCUAACNCGUUAAAGUCAUCCGCCUGGGGANUACGGCCG
rnacentral:rRNA from 1 species